rnacentral:rRNA from 1 species
CGCACCGCUCAGUAACACGUGGGUAACCUGCCCUAUGCUGGGGAAUAACCUCGGGAAGCUGAGAAUAAUGCCCCAUAGCCCACUACGCCUGGAACGGUGAGUGGGUCAAAGCUCCGGCGGCAUAGGAUGGGCCUGCGCCGUAUCAGGUUGUAGGGGGUGUAAAGUACCCUCUAGCCAUCAACGCGUACGGGUGUUGGGAGACAUUGCCCGGAGAUGGAUUCUGAGACACGAAUCCAGACCCUACGGGGUGCAGCAGGCGCGAAAACUUGGCAAUGCGAGCAAUCGUGACCAGGGAACUCCAAGUGCGUAGGGUAAGACCUACNUUUUCUUGACUCUUCAAAGGUCUUGGAAUAAGGGGUGGGUAAGGAAC